rnacentral:lncRNA from 1 species
GGGGCCGGGCGGGCAGUGACCCUGCCCCACCCAGGUCGCCCAUUGCCUUUGUUGAGAAAUGAUUACAUCGUCUUCACUGCCUUGGAAUAGCAAUUCUCCGGGGGUCUGGGCUUGCAUUUCCAACACAAGCAGAGGGUGAUUUCAUGUUAACAAAAGGGGGUGGACGCCUUGGAUCCGCUGGUCUGCUAGGACGUACACUAAUUCCAUGCAGGCUCAGCCCUGUGCUCUUCUCUCCCUCUGCAGGGUGUGUGCUUGCAUCUUCUUACCUUCAGUACCUGCGUUUGUACCCUCCUCUUUCUCUGGGAAGAGAGUGUGAGGCUUGUGCACACAUGUGUGGGACACGGGGACACAUGGACAUCAGACACUCAGAGGCUGCUAGGUCCCAGGCCUGUCCUUGUGUGUUGCCAGCCACACCCGACAGGGUCUCUUUGAGGACAGAUCCAUGUCCCCCUCAGCCUGGGGGCUGCACCACCUCCACCCAUCUUCUUCAGAGGCUCUGGUCUUAGUGUGGGUGCCUGGCCGUGGGCCCAGAAAACUCUCCUGGUUUCUUUACAGGGGCGGGAAGAGCAGCCUCCCAUGUACAAGUGGCUGAGGUGCCAGGUGGGUUCUUGAGUUGUUCUUGUCUGUGUCUCACUGGUGCCACCACAUGCACUGGCAUUUCAGGAUGAAAAAUAGAGCAGUGGAAGAACAGAAGGGUGGAGACAUGGCACCGUCAGGUCGGAGGGCGCCAAGGGUUGGGGCGUGUGGUUGCUUUGCUACGGGGCAGCCUCCUGGCAGUGCUGUGAACUGUGUGCCCUCGACCACAUGGUUUCCCGCUCUGCUGCUCUGCGCUGGACCCGGCAGUACACGCUUCUUGGUAUCUUUCCCGCAAUAGACAAUAAGGAAAAAAGAAAGUAAAAAGAGAACAACAAAAUAAAGAAACAAAGACUUAACUUUGUGAUCCUUCCCAAUGCCUGGCUGCAACAUUCCCUCCUCAGAGUCCUUAGGGUUGGACCACACUGAAAUCAUUGCUGACUGCUACAUUCUUGCCUUUUCAUUUCCAUUCCUUCCCCACAUAGCUCGGGGCCAAGCCAUGCUCCUCAAGGGAUUCGCACAGAUGAACGCCUGUGCUUUCCGGGAAGGGAAGACUGGGUGGAUGUCCUCACUCGGGUCUGGGAAGGGGCCUCCACCCCGAGGCUGCAGCGCUGGGGAG